rnacentral:rRNA from 1 species
CGAAAGCCUGACGGAGCAACGCCGCGUGAGGGAGGAAGGCUCUUGGGUUGUAAACCUCUUUUCUCAAGGAAGAUAAUGACGGUAUUUGAGGAAUCAGCAUCGGCUAACUCCGUGCCAGCAGCCGCGGUAAUACGGAGGAUGCAAGCGUUAUCCGGAAUAAUUGGGCGUAAAGCGUUCGUAGGUGGUGAUGUAAGUCUGCUGUUAAAGCGUGUAGCUUAACUACAUAUAGGCGGUGGAAACUACAUGACUAGAGUGCGUUCGGGGCAGAGGGAAUUCCUGGUGUAGCGGUGAAAUGCGUAGAUAUCAGGAAGAACACCGGUGGCGAAGGCGCUCUGCUAGGCCGUAACUGACACUGAGGGACGAAAGCUAGGGGAGCG